rnacentral:rRNA from 1 species
GGGGAAUAUUGGACAAUGGGGGCAACCCUGAUCCAGCAAUGCCGCGUGAGUGAUGAAGGCCUUCGGGUUGUAAAGCUCUUUUGUUAGGGACGAUAAUGACGGUACCUAACGAAUAAGCCCCGGCUAACUUCGUGCCAGCAGCCGCGGUAAUACGAAGGGGGCUAGCGUUGUUCGGAAUGACUGGGCGUAAAGGGAGCGUAGGCGGCUUUGUACGUUCGAUGUGAAAGUCCUGGGCUUAACCUGGGGACGGCAUUGAAUACGGCAAGGCUUGAGAUAUAGAGGGGAAGAUGGAAUUGUGUGUGUAGAGGUGAAAUUCGUAGAUAUACACAAGAACACCAGUGGCGAAGGCGAUCUUCUGGCUAUAAUCUGACGCUAAGGCUCGAAAGCGUGGGGAGCAAACAGGA